GGGUGCAAGUUAGUAAGGGCCCGGGGUGGAUGCCUCGGCUCCUGGAGCCGACGAAGGGCGUGCAAAGCUGCGAAAAGCCGGGCGGAGGCGCAAGGAGCCUGUGAGGCCCGGAUGCCCGAAUGGGGAAACCCGGCAGGCGGCAAGCCUGCCAGUCCGCCUUUUGGCGGGAGGGGAACCGGCCGAAGCAAAACCUUUUAGUAGGCCGAGGAAAGGAAAUCAACCGAGACGCCCCGAGUAGCGGCGAGCGAAAGGGGCAGAGCCUAAACCCUGUGGGUGCCAUGGCGGCCUUAGCCCACAGGGGGUACGGGACGUGCCUGGAGGGGUCCGCCGGCCCCUCGGGGAGUUACAAAACCCCACCCUAGCCGAAGUCCCCUGGAAUGGGGCGCCACAGAGGGUGAAAGCCCCGUAGGCGAAAGGGUAGGGGUCUCCCUGAGGCACGAUCCCGAGUACCGCGGCCCACGUGAAAGGUCGCGGGAAUCAGGGGGGACCACCCUCCAAGGCUAAGUACUCCCGGAGACCGAUAGCGCAUAGUACCGUGAGGGAAAGGUGAAAAGAACCCUGGCGGGGAGUGAAAUAGAACCUGAAACCCCGGGUCCACAAGUGGCACGGCCCUCCCCCGACUGCGUGCCUUUUGCAGAAUGAGCCGGGGAGUUGUCCUCAGGGGCGAGGCUAAGCCGACAGGCGAAGCCGUAGCGAAAGCGAGUCCGAAUAGGGCGCAAAGUCCCUGGGGGCAGACGCGAAGCCGGGCGAUCUACCCUUGCCCUGGGUGAAGGCCGGGUAACACCGGCUGGAGGCCCUAAGGGGUCGGUGCUGCAAAACCGUCCCGUGAGGUGAGGGUAGCGGUGAAAAGCCAAUCGCGCCCGGGGAUAGCUCGUUCUCCCCGAAAUGCAUCGAAGUGCAGCGUCGCCCGCUCCUUCCCGGAGGUAGAGCACUGCUAGGGCUAGGGCCCCAAAGGGGUACCGAACCCUGGCAAACUCCGAAUGCCGGGAAAGGGAGGGCGGCAGUGAGUCCUCGGGGGAUAAGCUCCGAGGACCAAGAAGGAAACAACCCAGACCGCCGGCUAAGGCCCCAAAGUCCGGGCUAAGUGGUAAAGGAGGUCCCCGCCCUAAGACAGCCGGGAGGUUGGCUUAGAGGCAGCCAUCCUUUAAACAGUGCGUAACAGCUGACCGGUCGAGGGCGGGGGCGCCGAAAAUUUAGCGGGGCUCAAGCCCGGCGCCGAAGCCGCGGGUCACACGAGCCUCCGGGCUCGUGUGGCGGUAGGGGAGCGUUCCCAGCGCGCUGAAGCCCAAGCCGCGAGGCGGGGUGGAGCGCUGGGAAGUGAGAAUCCCGGCAUGAGUAGGGAGCGAAGGCCGGUGAGAAGCCGGCCCGCCGGAAGCCCAAGGGUUCGGCGGCAAUGGAAAUCAGCCGCCGGUUAGCCGGGACCCUAAGGCGAGGCCGAAGAGGCGUAGCCGAUGGGAAGGGGGUCAACAUUCCCCCGCCAGCUCGGUGGAGCCGGUGUCGUGACGCAGGAGGCUAGGCCGGGCCCGCUAUGGAAUGCGGGUGUAAGGUAGUAGGGGGACGGAACAGGCAAAUCCGUUCCGUCAAACCCCGAGAGCCGAUGCCGUAAGCCGGCCGACGCCACACUGCCAAGAAACAACGGCGCCGGCUGAGAGGCCGAGCUGCCCGUACCGGAAACCGACACAGGUGGGCUGGGUUAGGAGCCUAAGGCGUCGGGGGAACUCCCCUCAAGGAACUCGGCAAGUUGGCCCCGUACCUUCGGAAGAAGGGGUGCCCGCGUUAGGUGUAGGCCCGAGCGGCCGAAGCCGAGGCGGGUCGCAGUGACAGGGCGGUGCCGACUGUUUACCAAAAACACAGGACUACGCAAACCCGAAAGGGGAUGUAUGUGGUCUGAAGCCUGGCCAGUGCCCGAAGGUGAAGGCCCCCGGUGAUGAGCUGGGGGCUGAAGCCCGGGUAAACGCCGGCCGUAACUAUGACGGUCCUAAGGUAGCGAAAUUCCUUGCCGGGUAAGUUCCGGCCUGCAUGAAUGGCCCAACGAGUGCCGCACUGUCUCGAGGGGAGUCCCGCCGAAAUUGUAAUGCCGGUCAAGAUGCCGGCUACCCGCGGCAGGACGGAAAGACCCCGUGAAGCUUCACUGCAGCCUGGCAUUGGGCUCUGGCCUGUCCUGCGCAGGAUAGGUGGGAGCCUGGGAAGCCCCCGCUCCGGCUGGGGUGGAGGCGCCGGUGAGAUACCACCCUGGACAGGCUGGAGUCCUAACCCAGCGGGGUGAAGCCCCCGCGGGGACAGUGCUAGGUGGGCAGUUUAGCUGGGGCGGCUGCCUCCUAAAAGGUAACGGAGGCGCCCAAAGGUCCCCUCAGGCGGGUCGGAAAUCCGCCGAAGAGUGCAAGGGCAGAAGGGGGCCUGACUGUGAGGCCGACAGGCCGAGCAGCCGCGAAAGCGGGGCCUAGUGACCCACCCGCUCCACGUGGGAGGGCGGGUGAUCAGCGGAUAAAAGCUACUCCGGGGAUAACAGGCUAAUCGCCCCCGAGAGCCCACAUCGACGGGGCGGUUUGGUACCUCGAUGUCGGCUCCCCCCAUCCUGGGGCUGAAGCAGGUCCCAAGGGUUGGGCUGUUCGCCCAUUAAAGGGGGACGCGAGCUGGGUUCAGAACGUCGCGAGACAGUUCGGUCCCUAUCCGCCGCGGGCGCAGGAGCCUUGAGGGGGUCCGUCCCUAGUACGAGAGGACCGGGACGGGGCAGGCUCUGGUGUACCGGUUGUCCCUGGACUGGGGCAGCGCCGGGUAGCCACCCUGCUACGGGAUAAGCGCUGAAAGCAUCUAAGCGCGAAGCCCACCCCAAGAUAAGGGCUCCCUGAAGGGCCCUCCGAGACUAGGAGGUAGAUAGGCCGCAGGUGGAAGCCCCGCAAGGGGUAGAGCCGAGCGGUACUAAUCGCCCGUUCGACUUGCACGCCGGUGGGUGGAGGUAUGGGCUUUAUUCUGUUGACGAUUGCCC
rnacentral:rRNA from 1 species